AUUUAAAUAGUUUAAUUGAAAAUUUUAAUUUGUGGAAUUAAAGAUAUAGAAAAUAUCUAUUUUAAAUA
rnacentral:tRNA from 1 species